GUUGCUGGAAAUUGGACCCGGGGGCCGCCGCGAAGCCGGGGAAGGAGGAGCUCCGCUGCUGCAGGAGGCGGACGGCGGUGCGCCGGCUGGCUGCGUCCUCCGCCCGGGGGGUGUGCGAGUCCUGCAAGGAAAACCGGUGGCCGGGCUCCCCGGCGCCGGCCCUCCGAUGCCUAAGUCAGAGGGGGCAAGUAUGUGGAGAGAGCGGGG
rnacentral:lncRNA from 1 species